GUAGCGUCUACUUUGAUUUGCGAGCACGAGGGGACAAGUAUGGCAAGCUGGUCAACACGGUUCCCAGUGCGACUGCAGAGCCAGUUGACUCUGACAAGAGGCACAGCAGCGACUUUGCCCUGUGGAAGGGAGCCAAACCCCAGGAGGUGUUCUGGGCCUCACCGUGGGGAGACGGCCGGCCCGGAUGGCACAUCGAGUGUUCUGCCAUGGCCAGCGAGGUGUUCGGAAGCCAACUGGACAUCCACACCGGCGGCAUAGACUUGGCUUUCCCACAUCAUGAAAAUGAAAUCGCACAGAGUGAAGUCUUCCACCAGUGCCAGCAGUGGGGAAAUUACUUCCUACAUUCGGGUGAGCCUGACUUGAGGCAAACCUCUUCUUUGGUUCUGUCUACUCUGCCUUUGGAGUCCAUAGCUCUGCAGGGAGGGCUGGAGAUGAGUCUGACUGAAAUCACUGCUUGGGUUUCUGUAGAGUAUCUUUUCUUUCUUCUUUGCUAGUCUCACGUGUGAAUACAAUGUAUCUUGACCUGACUGAUCAUACAGCGCUCCAGCCUGUCACGUGGGGUUCCUCUUGUGUUGGUAGCCAUGGCUGCAAAGCUUGUGAGAGCAACAGCCACCGCUGUCCAGAAGACAUUUUGCAGCCCCUCUGCUGUCUCUGCCUCUUAGUCUCUUUCUAGUCUUUUUCUCUGAGAGGCUCCUUGAGGCUUGAGGGACUAGAUUUAGGACAGACAAACAUUUAUCCUCAGCACUUUGCCUGAGUCUGCGCCGACUGCUGCCCACUGCAGAAAGGGACUUCUUUGGCCAGAGCUGAGAGCAGCACUGACCCGUGUGUAUAAAUACUUAGAAGGCAGUUUAUACAGGGUUGUUCAGCAAAACCACAGUAGUAGGCACCCAGAUAGAGCCUGUCACUCCCGAGCCAUGGGCUUUUGACCAGAUUUACAGCACCAGGCACAAAUUCCCUUCUGUGCAGCAGGCCUCAGAUCCAGUCAGAAAGUGGCUGGCUACUGUGCUGGUUAAAUGAAUUAAAGAGAAUCUCAGAGGUACCAAAAUGCUUUGGUAUUACAGUAAAGAAAGAAAACUCAGC
rnacentral:lncRNA from 1 species